rnacentral:lncRNA from 1 species
CGAGAACACUGUGAGGAUGAAGAAACUCUUUGUGAAUAUGCCGUUGCAAUGAAAAAUUUGGCAGAUAAUCAUUGGGCAAAAACUUGUGAGGGCGAAGGUCGUAUUGAAUGGUGUUGUAGACGGAGUCUUGCUCUGUCACCCAGGCUGGAGUGCAUGGCGUGAUCUCGGCUCACUGCAACCUCCACCUCCCGGGUUCAAUCAGUUCUUCUGCCUCAGCC